rnacentral:lncRNA from 1 species
UCCUAGAGUCAAGCCAGAAACUUAAUGAUUAAACAAAUCACUUCCUUGAACGCAGUCUUUUUCCAAGGUUCUGUUAGCCAUACUCUCAGGAAGCUGUGAAGUAGGGAGAUCUACGUGGGGGUCUCUUUGUACUGAGACUCAUCAGCAUCUCGGAAAGCAGAAGGGCCUGAAUUAUUGCAGGCACAAGUGGGAGGCUGGGACAGCAUUUCUGACUUCCUGGGAGAAGAUGUCGAAGACACAGGAGAAGACAAGCCAGGGAGAGGGGCUUAGAGCAGAUUCUCCCUUGCAGCCUCAGAAGGAAUCAGUCCUGGUCACACCUUGAUCUCAGACUUCUGGCCUCCAGAAUGGGGACUUAAAACCAACAUCCCACACUCAUAAUGAAAACCUGGCAGGAGGCAGAACAGGAUUGGAGCUGCUUCAAAGCCUUAGGUCCAGAGAACUCAUCACCUAUGCAGAUCCUCAAUAAGACUCAAAGCUGAUUCCGCCUCAGAAACCAUGGAGACCCAAAGCCAAAUUCAAAGUGCUGAAAGUUAACUCAUCCAAUCAGUCAACUCUUGUACAGACCUCCUUUUUUUUUGUUCUUGGAGUUUGUUUUAUUCUAAUAAAGGUGUUUUAUAUUGUUGUUGUAUUAUUCUUAAAUACCAUAUUUUAGUUGCUAUUAUAAAUGGUACUUCUAUUGCCGUUUUGUCUAACAUUUUCUGGUGGUCAAAUUUCUAGCUAGUGUGGAAGAACACUGAUGGUUUUUACUUAUUGAUUUUCUCUCUGGCAAUCUCACUAAACCUUAUGAUAAGUAAUAAACCUUAUGAUAGUAGAAAAGGUUGAUAUGAUAUGAUAGUAGUAAUCCUCUGGAUUACCCAUCCCCUCUUGAUAAUCUCUGUUGAAAUAAUCACAUUAUGUGCAACUAAUGACAAUGUCACUGCUCUUAUAGUCUCUAUGUGCAUUUCUUUUUCUUGUCUUACUGCUUUGACUCAUUCAGUUGACUGCCAUUCACAGAACAGAUGUGGAACGGUUGUUUUCGUU